rnacentral:rRNA from 1 species
CAAUAGCGUAUAUUAAUGUUGUUGCAGUUAAAAAGCUCGUAGUUGGAUUUCUGACGGGAGCCCUGGUCACUUUAACGAGUGUACUGAAGUGGCGUCUUGUCGUUUCAUGGGGAUGCUUGCUGGUAUUAAGUUAUCGGCUUGUGGAUCCAUGUCGUUUACUGUGAAAAAAUUAGAGUGUUCAAAGCAGGCCAUCGCUGUGAAUACAUUAGCAUGGAAUAAUAAGAUAGGACUGUGGUGCUAUUUUGUUGGUUUGCGUACUACGGUAAUGAUUAAUAGGGAUAGUUGGGGGUAUUCAUAUUCAAUUGUCAGAGGUGAAAUUCUUGGAUUUAUGGAAGAUGAACUACUGCGAAAGCAUUUACCAAGGAUGUUUUCAUUAA